rnacentral:rRNA from 1 species
CAGUAGCCGCGGUAAUACGUAGGUGGCAAGCGUUGUCCGGAAUUAUUGGGCGUAAAGGGCUCGCAGGCGGUUUCUUAAGUCUGAUGUGAAAGCCCCCGGCUCAACCGGGGAGGGUCAUUGGAAACUGGGAAACUUGAGUGCAGAAGAGGAGAGUGGAAUUCCACGUGUAGCGGUGAGAUGCGUAGAGAUGUGGAGGAACACCAGUGGCGAAGGCGACUCUCUGGUCUGUAACUGACGCUGAGGAGCGAAAGCGUGGGGAGCGAACAGGAUUAGAUACCCCCGUAGUCCCUGUCUCUUAUAC